rnacentral:rRNA from 2 species
CCAACAGGGAUUGCCUCAGUAACGGCGAGUGAAGCGGCAACAGCUCAAAUUUGAAAUCUGGCCUCACGGUCCGAGUUGUAAUUUGUAGAGGAUGCUUUUGGCGAGGUGCUUUCCGAGUUCCCUGGAACGGGACGCCAUAGAGGGUGAGAGCCCCGUACGGUAAGACCACCGAGCCUCUGUAAAGCUCCUUCGACGAGUCGAGUAGUUUGGGAAUGCUGCUCUAAAUGGGAGGUGUACGUCUUCUAAAGCUAAAUACCGGCCAGAGACCGAUAGCGCACAAGUAGAGUGAUCGAAAGAUGAAAAGCACUUUGAAAAGAGGGUUAAAAAGUACGUGAAAUUGUUGAAAGGGAAGCAUUCAUGACCAGACUUGGGCUUGGUUGAACAUCCGGCGUUCUCGCCGGUGCACUCUGCCAGUCCAGGCCAGCAUCAGUUUGCCCCGGGGGACAAAGGCGGUGGGAAUGUGGCUCCCUUCGGGGAGUGUUAUAGCCCGCCGUGUAAUGCCCUGGGGCGGACUGAGGAACGCGCUUCGGCACGGAUGCUGGCGUAAUGGUCAUCAAUGACCCGUCUUGAAACACGGACCAAGGAGUCGUCUUCGUAUGCGAGUGUUCGGGUGUCAAACCCCUACGCGUAAUGAAAGUGAACGUAGGUGAGAGCUUCGGCGCAUCACCGACCGAUCCUGAUGUUCUCGGAUGGAUUUGAGUAAGAGCAUACGGGGCCGGACCCGAAAGAAGGUGAACUAUGCCUGUAUAGGGUGAAGCCAGAGGAAACUCUGGUGGAGGCUCGCAGCGGUUCUGACGUGCAAAUCGAUCGUCAAAUAUGGGCAUGGGGGCGAAAG